UAUUUUUCGGGUGAGUGGGAUAAUCUUUAAUAUGCAUAUAUGAUAAGUAAAUAUGUAUGUUGAUUAUACAAUGAGUACAACUCGUUAAUUUCUUGAAUAAUUAUAUAUGUUGCUUAUUUUCCGAGUACUCAUUUAUUCUUGAAUUUGCACUCGCAAUCUGUCAAAGUAAAUUCUAUUUGAUAUGAUAUACGUUUCUUUGAUGAUUAUGUGAAUAUCUAUUAUGCCUUGAUAUGGGACUUGUCAGUAACUCCAUGCUAACGGAGAGUAGUUAGCCUAUGUGCAUAUAGUAUUUUGUAAACCUAGCUGGUGAGAGAGGCAUCAGCCUGUGGCGACUGAUCAUCCCACAGUGGUCACCUUCGGGUGUCAUCUGGUCUGGUCACCUUCGGGUGUCAUCUGGUCACCUUUGGGUGUCAUCUGAUCUCUGACAUGUAGUCCACUACGUUAUGAUGAUAUGUUUAGUAUGUAUAUGAUAUGUUCAGUAUGUAUAUGUAUAUGUAUAUCAAGAUAAAGGAUCUUGCGAACUAUUAAUAUCAAGAAUAUCUAAAAUGUAUAUUAAUUAUUAUUCCCUCACUGAGUUGGUUGAACUCACCCCUCAUUCUUAAUAUUAUUUCAGGUUCUUAGUUUCUGAUAGCAGGUGAACCUUGUUGAGUGUUCCUGCUUCUUCAGUUU
rnacentral:lncRNA from 1 species